rnacentral:misc_RNA from 1 species
AAACUGCGAUAAGUAGUGUGAAUUGCAUUUAGUGAAUCAUCGAAUCUUUGAACGCACCUUGCACUCACUGGUAUUCCGGUGAGUACGCCUGUUUCAGUAUCAUUGAAAACACACAAUCAAAACAUUUUCUUUGGUUUGAUUGGCUUUGGGUCUAUCAAAAAGUUUGGCUUGUUUCUUACAAGCCAAGCGGCCUGAAAUAUAUUGUCUGGCUAAUUGCAUCGUUGAUGAUCGCUAUUAGACUUUGGCUUUUUUAAAUGAACUGGAGGUUGAUUAACCAGUUUUAGCUUUAGUCAAAUGGUCAUUGUAAAAAAAAUCUCGAUCUUGGCUAGGUGUUUAUAGCCGAAAAUUUUUUUUUGGCUAUAAUCGAAACCAAUAUAAUCACAUUUAGUUAUCGAUCUGAAAUCAGGUGGGACUACCCGCUGAACUUAAGC